GGAAGGAAGGUGCUAGGUAAAAGAAAAGAGUGAAAAAGAAAAGAUGAGAUUGAAGACAAAAGAUAGGGUUGAAAGAAGAGUCGAAGAAGGAAAGGUUAGAGGGGAAGUAGUAGGGGAAUGGGCAACUUGGCCUGAAAGAGGUGCAGUUUUUGGUAGUAACCUUAGAGCUACAAUCUGGGCAUACCCGGCAUUGAAUGAGGGAGAGCAAAAUGCUAAAGGACAAAUAUCAGCAUCUACCCAUCCAGGGCUGCAGCAGUCUGCAGAGAGGAGGGGAGGGGAAGGGAGGGUAUGCAGAUUCUGAGCUGUUAUUAUCAGGCCCUCCCUAGAUUUCACUUUAAUUGCGGUUGUUUUAUGGGAUCGGCUGCCACUACUCUUUGCAAUGUCAUUGUUAAUGCUCUGUCAUAAUAAUAACAAUAAUAAUAUGAAAGCUGUGAUACUCAA